rnacentral:lncRNA from 1 species
UCCUGGAUCCUUCCUGGAUCCUGCCUGACUCCUGCCUGACUCCUGCCUGACUCCACAGCUGCAGACUCCCAGCAUGAGGUGGUGCCAGACACUGGGGUCACUGGGGUCAUGGGGUGCACUGGGGUCACCGGGGGCACAGGGGGUUCUGAGAGCACUGGGAUUACUGGGGACAGCGGGACACUGGGGACAACGGGACACUGGGAUUACUGGGGACAGUGGGACACUGGGAUUACUGGGGACAGCGGGACACUGGGGUUACUGGGGACAGCGGGACACUGGGGUCACUGGGGACAACGGGACACUGGGAUUACUGGGGACAAGGGGACACUGGGAUUACUGGGGAUGAUGGGACACUGGGGUCACUGGGGAUAGCGGGACACUGGGAUUACUGGGGACAGCAGGACACUGGGAUCACUGGGGACAACGGGACACUGGGAUCACUGGGGACAAGGGGACACUGGGAUUACUGGGGACAACGGGACACUGGGAUCACUGGGGACAAGGGGACACUGGGAUUACUGGAGACAAGGGGACACUGGGGUCACUGGGGACAGUGGGACACUGGGAUUACUGGGGACAGCGGGACACUGGGGUCACUGGAGAUAACAGGACACUGGGAUUACUGGGGACAAGGGGACACUGGGAUUACUGGGUGCACUGGGAGUACAGGGGGUUCUGAGAGCACUGGGAUUACUGGGGACAAUGGGACACUGGGGUCACUGGGGACAAUGGGACACUGGGAUUACUGGGGACAAGGGGACACUGGGAUUACUGGGGACAGCAGGACACUGGGGUCACUGGGGACAAGGGGACACUGGGAUUACUGGGGACAGCAGGACACUGGGAUUACUGGGAACAAGGGGACACUGGGAUCACUGGGGACAAUGGGACACUGGGGUCACUGAGGACAGAGGGACACUGGGAUUACUGGGGACAGCGGGACACUGGGAUUACUAGGGACAAGGGGACACUGGGAUUACUGGGGAGAACGGGACACUGGGGGUAUUGGAGGUGCUGGAGUCACUGGGAACGCUGGGGACACUGGGAACACUGGGGGCACUGGGAACACUGGGAACACUGGGGGCACUGGGAACACUGGGGGCACUGG